rnacentral:sRNA from 2 species
UAUCUCUCCAUACCGGGAAGGAUGAGAAGCUUCGACUAAGGUUCGAUUCGAGCGCAGCGAGAAAGCGCUGCUGCAGGCAACGACCCGAAGGGUGAGGAGCGGAGCGACGAAUAAUCCUUCCCCCACCACCA